GGGUUGUGAGGUUAAGCGACUAAGCGUACACGGUGGAUGCCCUGGCAGUCAGAGGCGAUGAAGGGCGUGCUAAUCUGCGAUAAGCGCCGGUAAGGUGAUAUGAACCGUUAUAACCGGCGAUACCCGAAUGGGGAAACCCAGUGUGAUUCGUCACACUAUCAUUAACUGAAUCCAUAGGUUAAUGAGGCGAACCGGGGGAACUGAAACAUCUAAGUACCCCGAGGAAAAGAAAUCAACCGAGAUUCCCCCAGUAGCGGCGAGCGAACGGGGAGGAGCCCAGAGCCUGAAUCAGCAUGUGUGUUAGUGGAAGCGUCUGGAAAGGCGCGCGAUACAGGGUGACAGCCCCGUACACAAAAGCGCAUGUGCUGUGAGCUCGAUGAGUAGGGCGGGACACGUGGUAUCCUGUCUGAAUAUGGGGGGACCAUCCUCCAAGGCUAAAUACUCCUGACUGACCGAUAGUGAACCAGUACCGUGAGGGAAAGGCGAAAAGAACCCCGGCGAGGGGAGUGAAAAAGAACCUGAAACCGUGUACGUACAAGCAGUGGGAGCACCCUUCGGGGUGUGACUGCGUACCUUUUGUAUAAUGGGUCAGCGACUUAUAUUCUGUAGCAAGGUUAACCGUAUAGGGGAGCCGCAGGGAAACCGAGUCUUAAUUGGGCGUUAAGUUGCAGGGUAUAGACCCGAAACCCGGUGAUCUAGCCAUGGGCAGGUUGAAGGUUGGGUAACACUAACUGGAGGACCGAACCGACUAAUGUUGAAAAAUUAGCGGAUGACCUGUGGCUGGGGGUGAAAGGCCAAUCAAACCGGGAGAUAGCUGGUUCUCCCCGAAAGCUAUUUAGGUAGCGCCUCGUGAAUUCAUCUCCGGGGGUAGAGCACUGUUUCGGCUAGGGGGCCAUCCCGGCUUACCAACCCGAUGCAAACUGCGAAUACCGGAGAAUGUUAUCACGGGAGACACACGGCGGGUGCUAACGUCCGUCGUGAAGAGGGAAACAACCCAGACCGCCAGCUAAGGUCCCAAAGUCAUGGUUAAGUGGGAAACGAUGUGGGAAGGCCCAGACAGCCAGGAUGUUGGCUUAGAAGCAGCCAUCAUUUAAAGAAAGCGUAAUAGCUCACUGGUCGAGUCGGCCUGCGCGGAAGAUGUAACGGGGCUAAACCAUG
rnacentral:rRNA from 1 species